AAAAGAUAAAAUGAGAGUUUUAAACAUAGCCUUAGUUGGCGUUUUCCUUAGCAUUCAUGCUUCAUUUGUGAGCGGUACUUUUUCUACAAGUGCCAUGAUAGAUGGCAAUAAUGUAGCUGUGGAUUUUAAUGCUAAUCCAACAUUAGAAAGAA